UGUACCCGCGGGCCGGGUCAACUGAGGAUAAAGUUCCAUCGAGCACAUGAAAGUUCUAGGGACACACUCAGUGUAUCCAAAUUAUUGCAGGGAGAUGUGAAGAUGCUCGUGCAGAUUUUAUUUGUUUAAAGACAGAUUCUUAGGUACUCAGAUUUUUCCCUGAUUGUACUGAGAUAACCACUUCCACAUCGGGGCUGCUUCCCUCAACUCCCAGAAUGAGGAGACUUGGGUCACAGAGCUGAGGAGUGAGGCUGCCGGUCACCAUUCUCAAGCCCGUCAACCAUGGACUGAAUUUCCUGAAACCGUGAUCCAUAGUAAAUCUGUACUCCAUGAAGUGG